rnacentral:rRNA from 1 species
AGAACGAACGCUGGCGGCAGGCUUAACACAUGCAAGUCGAGCGCCCCGCAAGGGGAGCGGCAGACGGGUGAGUAACGCGUGGGAACAUACCCUCCGGUUCGGAAUAGCUCAGGGAAACUUGGAUUAAUACCGGAUACGGCCUAGCGGCGAAAGAUUCAUCGCCGGAGGAUUGGCCCGCGUUCGAUUAGUUAGUUGGCGGGGUAAUGGCCCACCAAGACUGUGAUCGGUAUCC